GACGUAGGGCGCGAGCGUUGUCCGGAUUUAUUGGGCGUAAAGGGCGCGUAGGCGCCUUCUAAGUCGAACGUGAAAUCCCUGGGCUCAACCCAGGAACUGCGUCCGAUACUGGAAGGCUUGAAUCCGGGGAGAGGGAUGCGGAAUUCCAGGUGUAGCGGUGAAAUGCGUAGAUAUUCGGAAGAACACCAGUGGCGAAGGCGACUCACUGGACGACUGUUGACGCUGAGGUGCGAAAGCGUGGGGAGCAAACAGG
rnacentral:rRNA from 1 species